rnacentral:tRNA from 1 species
UGCGGGGUCGUCUAACUGGCAGGACGGCUGACUCUGGAUCAGCAAGUCUAGGUUCGAGUCCUAGCCCCGCAG